AGCGAACGCUGGCGGCAGGCCUAACACAUGCAAGUCGAACGAACCUUUCGGGGUUAGUGGCGGACGGGUGAGUAACACGUGGGAACGUGCCUUUAGGUUCGGAAUAACUCAGGGAAACUUGUGCUAAUACCGAAUGUGCCCUUCGGGGGAAAGAUUUAUCGCCUUUAGAGCGGCCCGCGUCUGAUUAGCUAGUUGGUUGAGGUAAUGGCUCACCAAGGCGACGAUCAGUAGCUGGUCUGAGAGGAUGAUCAGCCACAUUGGGACUGAGACACGGCCCAAACUCCUACGGUAGGCAGCAGUGGGGAAUCUUGCGCAAUGGGCGAAAGCCUGACGCAGCCAUGCCGCGUGAAUGAUGAAGGUCUUAGGAUUGUAAAAUUCUUUCACCGGGGACGAUAAUGACGGUACCCGGAGAAGAAGCCCCGGCUAACUUCGUG
rnacentral:rRNA from 1 species